UCCCAUCAUAAUCUCGGAGCCUAUCGAAAAGCCGGCGCCGAUCCAAGACACUCGGACCAAGACAAACCUGAGGAUCAAUUGGAUCUCCCUAGCUCUCCCAAGGAAACAAUGGAUGCACCCAAGCCGCCAAGUCCAUUGACAACAGCAGAAGACCCAGACGCUGUAAUUAUCACUGGUACUAGCUUCUCUAAACCGGCCACAACGGUUUUAUCGAAGCAUGUAUCAUCAUCAGCUCAAACUGUUCCUGAGUAUGAACUCUCCAAG
rnacentral:lncRNA from 1 species